UCCAGCAGCCAUGUCAUCCUGCAACUUCACUGGUAAACCACUGAAUUUCAGCAGGUAUGAGCCUGGUCAAUACCUGGAUGGGAGACCACCUGUGAAAAUUAAGGUUGCUGCUGGAA
rnacentral:rRNA from 1 species